rnacentral:lncRNA from 1 species
AGCCUCAUGGGCUCCUCAGAGCAGGAAGAGGGGGAAGAGAGCCAGGAUGACAGCAGCCCCAUCGAGCUGGACUGAAGCUGCCUGGCCAGCGUGGAGAUGUCCAUGGCCGGCACCGCUGGGACGGAUUCAGUGCCAGGCUGGGCGCAAGGCCCCUUACCAGUGGGCUGCUGCUCUGUGGCUGAGGGGCCAUCUAUGCAGAGUCUGUCCCUAUUUAUGUAUGGUGGUUGAGGGCUGUGUGGCCAGGACCAAGAGCAAGGCCCAGCUUCUGCUGGCCAAUCGUGUUCCUUCAGAUCACCCACAAUAAAGCGCAGCCCUUGCUGCAGCACCCGC